UACGUAGGGUGCAAGCGUUAAUCGGAAUUAUUGGGCGUAAAGAGCUCGUAGGCGGUUCGGCAAGUCGGAUGUGAAAUCUCCACGCUUAACGUGGAGGGGCCAUUCGAAACUGCUGUGACUCGAGUCCGGUAGGGGAGUGUGGAAUUCCCGGUGUAGUGGUGAAAUGCGUAGAGAUCGGGAGGAACACCUGUGGCGAAGGCGGCCCCCUGGGCCCGCA
rnacentral:rRNA from 1 species